ensembl:lncRNA novel transcript, sense overlapping KCNA1
GGCAGGAGUACUGGGGCAACCCCAUAGCUGGGGGUCCUAUGGGAGAGACUGAGGAACUUCGGUUUGUGGACUCUCAGUCAACUGUGUUACUGAGGAGGGGAAAGGAAAGUAGAUGAGUUGGUGGUUUGAACAAGACCCAAAUCUUGCUUCUACUUAUAGGUGCUCACAAUGGCCAGUGCCCUGGAAAAGCUCUGGAAUAAAUACACCUGGGCCUUAGAAAGCAGAGGCAGGAGACAAUGCCAUCCAGUGGGAGCUUUCAUUUGUUUCCUCAGCCAGCCUCUGUGUCAGGCUUUUUGGGAACAAGGGCUGGAUGAACAAGACCUUGGGAGUUCCUGUGGGGAGGGACUGGGGGUGAAUGGGCAGUGUGGCUGGCCCGGUGAUCACUUCUCCUCUGCUUGUCUAGGCUUGAGGAUGGAUUCUUGGCUCCUGGUGCAUUGCCACUCCCUGCCACCCUCCUCCUUGUCUUCUAUCUUCUCCUGGUGGCGUCAGGCCUUGCUUCGUGUCCCAACAGGAGCCUCUGGGGCUGGCACAGCCCUCACUGCCUACAACCUGGGCCUGGUGGUUCUCCUAGGGUGCCUCUGGGAGGUCAUGGUCACCCCGCUGCUGGCUAACUGCAGCUACUUCUGCCAGCCAGUGGACUACAGAUGGAGAAAGCAUGGAAUGAGGGUAUGGCAGGGAGCAGGAAGCAAGCCUGGAGAGGGUUAGGAGGAACAACUUCAUAACAAUCGGAGGUCAAGGAGGUAUCACCUGAGCCUUUUGAUGAGAGGCAGGGGACUAGCUAGUUUUGGAGUCAGAUAACAUCAAUUUGGAUCUCAGCUCUGCCAGUUACUUGCUGUGUGACUCUGGGUGGCACACCUAACUCUUCUGGGACUCAAUUUUCUUAUCUAUAAGAUUGAGAUAAUAAUACCUAUUUUAUAAAGCGAAAUGAUUGAAGGAAGACGGAAUCAGAUAAUAUAUGAUAGAUAAUAUAUGAAAGUGUUUAGCACAGGGGCCGGCACACACUGAGCGGUAGCUAGGUGGUAGUGAUUUCAUCACUGUUAGCUGUUCUCUGUUUCAACUGGAAGCAGAACAAAAGACUCUAGCUGAAGCCUGUCUCCAGGUAGCUAAGGCUUCUCACCAGCUGAUAUGGAUGUUGAGUCACUGGAUGUUGGUGAUGGGCUCAUGUCCUGUGACUCAAAGUAUGAUCCUUGGGCCAGCAGCAUCAUUUGGGAGCUUGUUGGAAAUGCAGAAUCUGUGCUCCACCCCAGGCACACUGAUUAAGAAUCUUCUUUUCAACGAACAAGAUGCCCACAUGCUCAUUAGAUUCCAAGGUUCUGGGCUGGGGCACAUUUGGAGAGUCCUUCUGUGGUCACUCCAGUAGCUUCUCCCCUUCUUUCCUGUGCGAACAGGCAUCUUCCUGGAGACAGGAAGGUAGGCACUGUGGAAUCAGCGGUGCGUAGAACAGUGAGGAUUUGGGGCUGAACCCAGCCCAGGUGGGCCAAGCCGUGGCACCAGCCGGACUGCAGUCUGAUGGAACUUCCCCUUCCUGCCCAGCAGAUGGCGAGCGUGUGCUGCUGGUGCCUCUUUCCAAAGGACGUUGAAUUGCUUGACAGGUGUUCUUUACUUUAUGAAUGAAGCCAGAGCAGCCCACCUUCCUGCAUCUCUACCACCAUGGCACCAUGCCCUGUGAUGGGUGGGCUGGAGUCAAAUAUGUAGCAGGCAGCCAGGGUCAGUUUGUGGCCACUGCUGCCCCCUCUUCCUACAGUCUCCUCACUGAGUGCCCCUUCCCUGUUGGGUUCAACACAUCUGUGCUCCUGUAAGCCCUCAGCCUCCUCGUUCUCUUCCUCAACUUCUACCACCAGACACAUCUGAGAAGCAAGCAAGAGAGGCUGAACUAGGAGCAGGACCCAGGGACUGAAACCAGCACAGCAUCCCCACAGAGAAUUGGGUGGAAGGCAGCAUGGCUUCCAGCUUACUGGUGCUGAGCAGAUUGCUCUGGGUCUCCAUUGUAUCCUCUGAAGGAAGGAGGAGGAUUGCCUUCUGUCCAGAUCUCAGGAUCAAACAAAUAGGUCCAAUUUCCUGUGCUCACUUCAGUUAGAGCACUUCUCAUGUGACUUUGUAGCUUUGUGUGCAUCUCCUUCCUCUACUAGACCUAAGCCCCUCACGGGAGGGACUCUCUUAUUCUUGAUGUUC